GGAGGGUGCAAGCGUUAUCCGGAUUUACUGGGUUUAAAGGGUGCGUAGGCGGCGCAGUAAGUCAGUGGUGAAAGCCCAGAGCUCAACUUUGGAAUUGCCAUUGAAACUGCUGUGCUUGAGUACGGAUGAAGUGGGCGGAAUGUAGCAUGUAGCGGUGAAAUGCUUAGAUAUGCUACAGAACACCGAUUGCGAAGGCAGCUCACUAGACCGUUACUGACGCUGAUGCACGAAAGCGUGGGGAGCGAACAGGAUUAGAUACCCUGGUAGUCCCACGCCCCUAAACUAUGUUCACUCGGUAUGUGCGAUAUACUGUACGUGCCCCAAGCGAAAGCGUUAAGUGAACCACCUGGGGAGUACGUUCGCAAGAAUG
rnacentral:rRNA from 1 species